rnacentral:rRNA from 1 species
GACGAACGCUGGCGGGGUGCGUAACACAUGCAAGUCGAACGGAAAGGCCCUGCUUUUGUGGGGUGCUCGAGUGGCGAACGGGUGAGUAACACGUGAGUAACCUGCCCUUGACUUUGGGAUAACUUCAGGAAACUGGGGCUAAUACCGGAUAGGAGCUCCUGCUGCAUGGUGGGGGUUGGAAAGUUUCGGCGGUUGGGGAUGGACUCGCGGCUUAUCAGCUUGUUGGUGGGGUAGUGGCUUACCAAGGCUUUGACGGGUAGCCGGCCUGAGAGGGUGACCGGCCACAUUGGGACUGAGAUACGGCCCAGACUCCUACGGGAGGCAGCAGUGGGGAAUAUUGCACAAUGGGCGGAAGCCUGAUGCAGCAACGCCGCGUGCGGGAUGACGGCCUUCGGGUUGUAAACCGCUUUCGCCUGUGACGAAGCGUGAGUGACGGUAAUGGGUAAAGAAGCACCGGCUAACUACGUG